CCAAACCGUUUCGUAAUCAGAUCUCAUUGUUAAUUAUAAAUAUAAAAGAAACGACUUUGUACAAAGCUGAAAACUUUCCCCUCGGAAAUCUAGAGAACAUCAACCAAACGACGAUGAAAAGGUGGGUUAUUUGCGGUGAAGUAUGAAAACGACACUUGUUGUAGUUCUUGUCGUCUGCGUGUUGUUGGCUUGUUUCAUUCUUCUUGAUGUUGAAGGUCAGGGCAGAAGUGGAGGAUAUCGUGGAGAAUAUGAUGGAGGAAUUAUUGGUGAAUAUGAUGGAGAAUAUCGUGACUAUGGAAGAUAUCAGGACUAAAGUAAAACUAUAAACGUCAACAGUUUAAGAUAAUCAGACCAGGAAUUUACAAGCGACUUAUCAUCUUGGAUUAUGUAUUUUAUUAGUAAUGUUUACAGAAACUUGUUAUAUCUGGUGUAGUUUAUAUUUUGUGAAGUAGAAUACUAGACAACCCAUAGAAUAGUUUUACAAUCAAUAAACUGUAAGCGAAUAAACAGUUGUAUACUUCAGUC